rnacentral:rRNA from 1 species
AUGGGCUCCGCCUCCGCCUCCUCGCUCCCGACAUCCGCCGGCGCUGGUGAGAACUUGGUCCUCAUCCUCGACUUCGGCUCGCAGUAUACCCAGCUCAUCACCCGCCGCGUCCGGCAGCUGGGAGUCCUCUCACUGUGCGUCUCCGGCACCGCCCCACUCUCCUCCAUCACCGGGUUUCAUCCCCGCGCCGUCAUACUCUCCGGCGGACCCCACUCCGUCCAUGCCUCGGGCGCGCCCUCCUUCCCCGCGGGAUUCCUCGAUUUCGCUGCCGACGCGGGCGCGCACGUUUUGGGCGUGGGCUACGGUAUGCAGCUCCUAGUUCAGUCCCUCGGCGGUGCCGUCGAGGCUGGCGAGCGGCAGGAGUACGGCGAUAUGGAGGUAGAGACUACCGCUCCGUCCUCCACACUGUACGGGGAGAGCGUGGUGGGGAUCAGACAGUCGGUGUGGAUGAGCCACGGCGACGAGGUGGUCAGACUGCCUCAGGGGUUCGAGGUUGUGGCGCGAAGUGUGCAGGGCGCAAUCACAGCCAUCGAGCAUCGGGAGAAGCGUUUCUAUGGACUCCAGUACCACCCGGAGGUAGCUAUCAUUUACUGUGACACAUCGACCCAAGGAAAGGAAACACUGCGCCACUUUCUUUUUGAUGUUUGUGGAAUUAAAGCUGACUGGAAGAUUCAGGAUGUGCUGGAUGAGGAAAUUAAGACCAUCAAAAGUAUGGUUGGGACUGAUGAACAUGUGAUUUGCGCGUUAUCAGGAGGUGUUGAUUCGACAAUUGCAGCCACACUCGUUCAUAACGUGAUAGGUGAUAGGCUUCAUUGUGUUUUUGUUGACAAUGCUAAACUAACAUAUGAUCUUAUCUGCAUAUACAAGGAGAAGGAACGAGUAAUGUCAACCUUUAAUAGUGACUUGCACCUUCCUGUCACAUGUAUUGAUGCCUCGGAGCAAUUUCUUAGCAAGUUAAAAGGAGUCAAAGACCCAGAGAUGAAAAGAAAGAUUGUUGGCAAAGAAUUCAUAGCUCAGACGGGAAAAAGACCUGAAUAUUUAGUUCAAGGAACAUUAUACCCUGAUGUGAUUGAAUCAUGCCUACCCCCUGGGAGUGGUAUGACACAUUCCCACACCAUCAAAAGCCAUCACAAUGUAGAUGGUCUUCCUGAAGAUAUGAAAUUGAAGCUCAUUGAACCACUGAAGCUCCUAUUUAAGGAUGAGUCAUUCUUAAAGCGACACCCAUUUCCCGGGCCUGGUCUUGCUGUACGUAUCCCAUCAGGUGAUGUUACAGAAGGCAAUGCUUUGGAGAUUCUUCGUCAGGCGGAUGAGAUAUAUGUUCAAGCCAUUAGAGAUGCAGGACUCUAUGAUACAAUUUGGCAAGCUUUUGCUGUGCUUUUGCCUGUCGAAACAGUUGGAGUCCAGGGUGACCAGAGAACUUACGGCUACCCCGUUACUUUAAGGGCAAUUACUAGUGAAGAUGGCAUGACUGCAGACUGGUAUUAUUUUGAGCGCAAGUUCCUGGCAGAUGUGUCUAAUAGGAUCUGCAACAAUGUGCGAGGCGUUAACCAUGUUUGCGUGGACAUAACAUCGAAGCCACCAGCAACGGUGGAGUGGGAGUAG